rnacentral:rRNA from 1 species
ACGCACGCUGGCGGCGUGCCUAAUACCUGCAAGUAGAACGCUGAAGGAGGAGCUUGCUUCUCUGGAUGAGUUGCGAACGGGUGAGUAACGCGUAGGUAACCUGCCUGGUAGCGGGGGAUAACUAUUGGAAACGAUAGCUAAUACCGCAUAAGAGUAGAUGUUGCAUGACAUUUGCUUAAAAGGUGCAAUUGCAUCACUACCAGAUGGACCUGCGUUGUAUUAGCUAGUUGGUGGGGUAACGGCUUACCAAGGCGACGAUACAUAGCCGACCUGAGAGGGUGAUCGGCCACACUGGGACUGAGACACGGCCCAGACUCCUACGGGAGGCAGCAGUAGGGAAUCUUCGGCAAUGGACGGAAGUCUGACCGAGCAACGCCGCGUGAGUGAAGAAGGUUUUCGGAUCGUAAAGCUCUGUUGUAAGAGAAGAACGAGUGUGAGAGUGGAAAGUUCACACUGUGACGGUAUCUUACCAGAAAGGGACGGCUAACUACGUG